rnacentral:lncRNA from 1 species
CUCACCAUCUCCAUUAUCUGGCCACACCCAGUCGCCAUCGCCGUGAGCCACCAUUGAUGAAAAAUGCUCGUGCUGCUCGAAUGUGAUGAUGCGGCAACGACGAAGCUAUGUAGUGCGGUGGAAAGCACUAAUAUUUUUUUUUUCUGAUUUUCAUUUGUUCAAUGGUCGAUGCAGUGUUGUGUGACGAUGCGAUGAAGUGCUUUGUGCAUUGUAGUUGCGCGGUGCCGUUGGCUGUGUGGUUUGGUGGUAUUUUGCGGGUGUGGUGCCGUGGGCUAUAGGAGUGGUGGUGGUGUGUGGUUGCGGUACUGUGUAAGGUGCGUUGGUUGGGUGUGACGCUGUAUAAGGGUGCAAUGGUGUUGCCAGUGUGGUGGUGGCUCUGGUGGUAUGCAGUACUACUAAUCAGUUGUUGUGAGGAGCUGGGUGGCUUUGGCUGUGGUGGUGCUUGAGUCUUUGAUAGCGGUGCGGUGGUUAGGUCUUUCGGCAUCAAGUUUCCCGUCGUUAUCUUCAUCUGAUUCUCAAAUUUUUGGAUCUUAUUUUUGGUAUUUUGGUUAGUGGUGGCUGUGAUGUUGAAGUGAUUUGGUGUUUUGUUCUUUUGACAUCCGGUUCCUAGCAGCUAUUUGGUAUUUGGUAUUUAAUUGGUGGUCGUGGUGAUGUUGGCUAUGGUGGCGAGAUGGUGGCACUGCUGUGGUCCGAUGAGUUGGUGGUGGUGGUAGUAGUGGCGCCAUGUUACGGUUGCCGCGAAAUCCAAGCCUGGUUGAGCGAUAACAUUAUUUUUGAAUUUAAUUUUCGGUGGUAAUUGUUGUGACGUUGGCUAAAAUGAUGAGAUGGUGGUAUGGUGAGGUGGUGGUGAUGUUGGUGGUGGCUAUUGUGGUCAUGGCGAUGGUGGAAGUGGUCGUGGCGGUGGUGCAGUGGUCAUUGGUGGGAUGGAAUGAGAUAGGGUGCUUGUGAUCAAUUAUUUAAUUGAUUGUGACCAAUAAAUUAAUUAAUUUUAUAACCAAUAAACAAUAUGUGACCUAAAAAAUGUGAUUGUGAUUUGCAAUAUAUUAGUUGUAACCGAUUAGCAUAACCACC